UUUAUGUUUAUCGGCAAUUAGUGACAACACAUAUUAAUCGGCGCUUGUUUUGACCAACACGACGGAAGAUUAUCAGGACGAACGAUAAAACAGCCAGGAGUAAAUAGCAAUUAAAGAGAGAAAGGUCAAUUAAGUCCAUUCGGAAACGGAUCAAUUCAGCCUUUCCGGAUCAUGUAAGUCCCUGUGGAUUUACUUAAAAUUAUGUAAUUUUAACUUCCUUUCUAGAAGAAUCGAGAAUUAAGGUAUCCGACCCACAUUAGCGGAUUUUUAUAAAAUGUAAAUCAAGGUGUGUAUUAUGACCGUAAUUGAUGCUAAAAGAUAUAUCUAUGUUUUUUAUUGAAAAUUUACCGCAAAAUUACCUUAUAUUAUCAAUUAUUUAUAUUUCCCAACAUUUUUCAAUUAUGCUGCAACUUUUUUUCAAAUAAUGAAAUAAAAUAAGAAAUAAAUAGACAUUUAAAGUUUUCUUUUAUUAUUAUAGCAUAAUUUUUAUUUUAAAACACUUCUAACAUCAAAAAGACAGACUGACUAUGAGAAAACAUGAAAAAUAGAAAAAUAAAAAUUCAAGUGCAAAAAGGUGAAAUGUACAAAAUUGCUAUUUUUAAAAAAAAUGAUGCAGAAAUUUCACAAAUAUUUUGCUGCAAAUGAAGUUCAAUCCCUAUAUUUUUGUUUAGCACAAUUAUAAAGAUAUUUACCGUAGAAAACUUUAAAUAUGCUAUGUUGAACACCCCCACCCCCAAUACAAAAAUUCAAGUGCAAAACGGCGAAAUGUACAAAAUCGCUGUUUUUAAAAAAAAGAUAAUGUAAACUUUUCACAAAUAAUGUACUGCAAAUGAAGUUCAAUCCCUAUAUUUUUGUUUACCACAAUUAUAAAGACAUUUACCAUAGGAAACUUACAUUAUGCUAUGUUGAACCACAUCCCCCCCCCCCCCCCCCCCCCCACCCCAUACAAAAAUCUUAACAUUGAAAAGUUAGGUGGGUAAAUUUGCUGAGAGUAGAAUAUUGCUAAUAUUUUUUUAUUUUUUUUUAUUUUUUUUUUGACAUAUACUGCUGUUGUUUUUUUAAUCUUCGUUGUAGCUGAAGAUGAUCAGUGGUGUCAGCUUUCAUUCCGGACUACGUCGCGGUGGUGAAUGCUGUUUGAUUGUAUUCCUCAACGUAGUUGGAUGAGUGCAACACAUUCUUAAGCUCAUUACAUUGUUUUGAGAUUGAACUGUUGAUUUGGAAUUUGUACUUUGAACUUUGAACUUGACUAUUCAGCAUUGAAUGAUACUUGACAUUCGGCAUUGAACUGUAUUUUUAUUUAUUUAUUUAUUUUACUAUUGAUUGUUUAUUGUUUUGGUGACGUUCAUGCACUUGUGACAUACCCAGUGCAUGAUCCGCCCAAUUUGGGGCCGUCUCAUAUUUUGUAUUGAUUGAUUGAUUGUUAUUGAGGGGCAGCCAUGUGGUAACCCCUGCAAGUAAUCACCACGGCCAGAAGCGCCAUAAUCAACUAGUAUAAACACAUGUCUUGUGUAUAUAUUUAGAGAAUCUGAAAUAAAUCAUAAUACAAUGUACAUGUUCAAU